rnacentral:rRNA from 1 species
GAUGAACGCUGGCGGCGUGCCUAAUACAUGCAAGUCGAGCGAACAGACGAGGAGCUUGCUCCUCUGACGUUAGCGGCGGACGGGUGAGUAACACGUGGAUAACCUACCUAUAAGACUGGGAUAACUUCGGGAAACCGGAGCUAAUACCGGAUAAUAUAUUGAACCGCAUGGUUCAAUAGUGAAAGACGGUUUUGCUGUCACUUAUAGAUGGAUCCGCGCCGCAUUAGCUAGUUGGUAAGGUAACGGCUUACCAAGGCGACGAUGCGUAGCCGACCUGAGUGGGUGAUCGGCCACACUGGAACUGAGACACGGUCCAGACUCCUACGGGAGGCAGCAGUAGGGAAUCUUCCGCAAUGGGCGAAAGCCUGACGGAGCAACGCCGCGUGAGUGAUGAAGGUCUUCGGAUCGUAAAACUCUGUUAUUAGGGAAGAACAAAUGUGUAAGUAACUAUGCACGUCUUGACGGUACCUAAUCAGAAAGCCACGGCUAACUACGUG